UUCGUCUGGAGUUCAAAGAGGAUGAGAACCUCCGAAGGAGGUUUGAGCCGAGCGCAGCGAGACAACGUUGCUUCAGCAACGGCCCGCAGGGCAGCUCUCGCAGAGAGCGGUCAUCCUCUCUCGCCGACCA
rnacentral:sRNA from 1 species